ensembl:lncRNA
CGCUCCUGGACCAUCACAAGCCAGCAGGCGCAGAUACCGUCCUCAUCGCGGACGCAAACACUAUUAUUUUUGUGCUAGUUUGUGAUUACUCUUUUAAGAGUGCCAGUGUUCCACACCUCCCCCACUGAGCGCGGAGUGUGUGUGUGUGUGUGUGUGUACCUCUGCAGGCUAAGGGAGGAGUCGUGCUGGCGUCUGGAGCGCUGCGGAGCAGAGCCCAUUCCCCUGGGAACAGCAGCCACUCCACACCUGCCUCCGCUGCACCUGCCUAGGCGUGCGCGUCUACCUGGCUGGAUCUCUUUCUCUCUCUCUCAGCCAUGACCGACUUGCUCUGGCUGGGGGGAUAACGGUGUUAAUUGGAGGACAGCGCCAGUUCUCCACCCCUCCCUCUCCCCCACCCGGGUGACCCUGUGACCCGUUGUCUCUCGGGCCCCCCCCGCACCCCCGCCCGCCUCUCCACACGCUCCGUCACUCAUGAGCAGGCCGGUGGCGGGGACGUAGCCCGAGACAGAGCGCCAUGGACCCCUGAGGCCAUGACGGGAGCGCGGCGGCUGCGUGGUCCCUAGCAGUCCUCACUGGACCGGAGCGCUUAACGACGGACACGGGCUUGAGGAGCAGCAUGCAGGAGGCUGACCUACCAGCCACGAAUGCCUUCACAGGUGAAGAGACAGCGGGACCAUCUGGAGUCGCAGCUUAGCCGGAACCAGUCUGACACCGCUCCCUGUGACUCUGGCUAUUGGAAAACCGGAAUUUUAAUUUUAAGGGGGUUGCUCCCAAGGCCAACACUUUGUCAGGCCUGAACUGCUGAGAGAGCUUUUUCCGGUCCAGUGUCUGAAAACAUCUCCACUGCAUCGCUAAUUUGCCGCCAGACUCGUGAAGUGUGAAGAUUUGAGAAGUUUGCGUUGCCUGUGACUUUAUGGCGGUGACACCUUCUCCCCGCCGCCCCCCCCACUGAGGUCACUGGGUGCAGGGAGUGGUGUCUGCGUGUGUGUGUGCGCGCAUGCUUUUGCCUGAACUCUGCGCCUGCGUGUGGUGGCAAGACUCUGACAGAAGGAGCCACUAAUGAAGCAAUGAUCUGCAGAAUAUGUGACUAAAUGCUAAAGAUGACAUCUGCUGUCGUAUUACACCUCAAGCCUGCGGAUCCCCCAGAAGCCAGACCUAACAGAUUUACGUUCA